CACUGUUAAACUAGGGAGAAAAGGUUAAGGAAGGAUGGCUAAUUCUAGUUAUCACGACUGUGAAAGGAUUUACUUUCUAUCAGAAAGACUGUGUUUAACACAAACGCAGAAGCCUCGCUCUUCAUUCUAGCAGAAUUUUGCUUUUGCACACUUAUUCGCCAUAUGAGGAAAACUACAAGUAACCCAAUUUCCGCUUCAGGAAGUUAAAGACAUUAACUUGGCAGAAAUAGGCUUAGUCCGGGAAACAGAAAGCAAGCAACUUGUUCAGGGAAACUUUUCAGUUCUGCGACGCAUGCGCUCUGCCUCCAGGAAAGUGGCAAAUACGGCUGCACGAAUUGGCGGCCCGACCCUCCCUGGUCACAUUUUGGGAGACAGCGGUGUGGCAGCGGCCGUGGCGAUAGCGACGACAGGCCUAGGGCGGUCAGAAGGUUUCUGGUUCAGGUUUAACUUUCGGCUGCCGUCUCGGGGCUGAAGUUUGUGAGCUGUAGUAUUGAGUCCCAUUCGAGCUAUUGUUCUCUUUUUCCUGAAAAAUGGCACUAAGAGGGAGAUGGAUGAGCUGAAACCAUUGAUCUUUUCACAGUCGUUGAUAACUAGAAUUAGACACUCCUUAACCUUUUCUUCCUAAUUUAUCAGUGAUGUCAGGCUGGGCACAGUGGCUCACGCUUGUAAUCCCAGCACUUUGGGAGGCUCCAAGGCGGAUGAGAAGACAGUGAAGAGCGUGCUGGGUUUCUCAGAGCCUACAGUGGUCACAGCAGCAUUGAACUGUGUGGGGAAGAGCAUGGACAAGAAGAAGGCAGCCGAUCAUCUGAUACCUUUUCUUGAUGAUUCUACUCUCCGAUUUGUGGACAAACUGAGGCUGUAGGAGAAAGGCGGAAGCUCUAGGCAUUCCAAGUCUAGCAGUGACUGAAGCAGAAAACGAGAGCUAAAGAAGGUGUUUGGUGAUGACUCUUGAGAUCUCUAAGGAAUCAUCAGGAGUAAAGAAGCAGCGAAUACCCCGUUUUGAGGAGGUGGAAGAAGAGCCUGAGGUGAUCCCUGGGCCUCCAUCAGAGAGUCCUGGCAUGCUGACUAAGCUCCAGAUCAAACAGAUGAUGGACGCAGCAAAAUGACAUAUGGAGGAGAGGAAAAAACAGCUACGCUUUAUUAGCCCCCCUACACCUCAGCCAAAGACGCCUUCUUCCUCCCAACCAGAGCUACUUCCAAUCGGCCACACUAUUCUGCCUUCCCAGGCUGCCACUUUCAUGAAUGAUGCCAUUGAGAAGGCAAGGAAAGCAGCUGAACUACAAGCUCGAAUCCAAGCCCGGGUGGCACUGAAGCCAGGACUCAUCAGCAAUGCCAACAUGCUGGGCCUGGCUAAUCUCCAUGCCAUGGGCAUUGCUCCCCCAAAGGUGGAGUUAAAUGACCAAAUUAAACCUACACCACUGAUCCUAGAUGAUCAAGGGUGCACUGUAGAUGCAACAUGCAAGGAGAUUGAGCUGACACACUGCAUGCCUACUCCUGCCAAUAUUCGUGCUGUGAAGAGGGAACCAUUCAAGCAACAGCUAAAAGAAAAACCAUCAGAAGACAUGGAGUCCAAUAUCUUUUUUGACCCUGAGUCUCCACUGUCGCUUCCCAGCGCCAGAAACGCACUUUUAAAUUCCAUGACAAGGGCAAAUUUGAGAAGAUUGCUCAGCAAUUAAGAACAAAGGCUCAACUGGAGAAGCUUCAGGCAGAGAUUUCACAAGCAGCUCAAAAAAUAGGCAUCCAUACUUUGACUAGGCUUGCCUUCAUUGCUCCUAGGAAGGAGCUAAAGGAAGUAGAUAUCCCUGAAAUUGAGUGGUGGGACUCAUAUAAUCCCCAAUGGCUUUGACCUUACAGAGGAAAAUCCCAAGAGAGAAGAUUAUUUUGGAAUCACAAAUCUUGUUGAACAUCCAGCCCAGCUCAAUCCUCCAGUCGACAAUGACACACCAGUUACUCUGGGAGUGUAUCUUACCAAGAAGGAACAGAAAAAACUUCAGAGACAGACAAGGAGGGAAGCACAGAAGGAACUACUAGAAAAAGUCAGGCUGGGCCUGAUGCCUCCUCCAGAACCCAAAGUGAGAAUUCUAAUUUGACGCAAGUAUUAGGAACAGAAGCUGUUCAAGACUACACGAAGGUAGAAGUCCAUGUCAGAGCUCAGAUGGCAAAAAGACAGAAAGUGCAUGAAGAGGUCAAUUCUGCCUGAAAACUCACAGCAGAAUAGAGAAAGGUCAAGAAAAUCUAAAAGCUUAAGACAUUUCACAGGGGUACACAUAUCUGUAUAUGGAGUUACAAAUUUGAGCACCCCAGCCAAGAAGUUCAAGAUUGAGGCCACUGCUGGGCAACUGUACCUGACGGGGUGGUGGUACUGCACAAGGAUGUCAACGUGGUAGUAGUGGAAGGGGGCCCCAAGGCCCAGAAGAAAUGUAAGCAUCUUAAUGCUGCAUCGGAUAAAGUGGGAUGAAUGGACAUCUAACACAAAGGGAGAUGAUCAUGAGGAAUCUAAUGAGGAAGCUGUGAAGAAAACCAACAAAUGUAUACUAUUCUGGGAGGGUACAGCCAAAGACCGGAGCUUUGGAGAGAUGAAGUUUAAACAGUGUCCUACAGAGAACAUAGCUUGUGAGCAUUUCAGAAAGCAUGGGGCUGAACAUUACUGGAACCUUGCCCUAAGUGAAUCUGCGUACAGUCCACUAAUUGAGACUACUGCAAGCCCUUGCCUCUCCCCUCUUGCCUUUGUCUCUUCUGUCCUCUCAUUUAUUCUGUUUCCCAACCCACUCCCACUUGUAUGAUCUCAGAACUAUGCCAAGCAGACAUUGGGACAAAGGGAGAAUAUCUUGCUCCCUUCCCCAGUCAGCCUGGUGUUGCCCUUUAUUCACCUUAUGUGCAUAUGAUUAAAGAGGUUUUUUUAAAA